CUCCAAUGACGAUCCAGCCAUGCUAAUACUGAUGCAUAAGAUGGAUGCACUGUCUGUCUUGGUGUAAAUGAGUUCAACUCACCUUCUCACACUGGUGAUCAGUGUGUACUGAGGAGA